UACAUGUGGGGCAAGCGUUGUUCGGAAUUACUGGGCGUAAAGCGCACGUAGGCGGCUUUCUAAGUCGGGGGUGAAAUCCUGGAGCUCAACUCCAGAACUGCCUUCGAUACUGGAGAGCUUGAGUCCGGGAGAGGUGAGUGGAACUGCGAGUGUAGAGGUGAAAUUCGUAGAUAUUCGCAAGAACACCAGUGGCGAAGGCGGCUACCUGGACCAGCACUGACACUGAGGCACGAAAGCGUGGGGAGCAAACAGG
rnacentral:rRNA from 1 species